rnacentral:rRNA from 1 species
UACGUAGGUGGCGAGCGUUGUCCGGAUUUACUGGGCGUAAAGGGAGCGUAGGCGGGCUUUUAAGUGAGAUGUGGAAUACUCGGGCUCAACUUGAGUGCUGCAUUUCAAACUGGAAGUCUAGAGUGCAGGAGAGGAGAAUGGAAUUCCUAGUGUAGCGGUGAAAUGCGUAGAGAUUAGGAAGAACACCAGUGGCGAAGGCGAUUCUCUGGACUGUAACUGACACUGAGGCUCGAAAGCGUGGGGAGCAAACAGG